GCCUGCUGUUUCCACCGCCUUGGGCCAAGGCCCACUGGGUGAGAACCCCCACCGUGCACUGUUGGCCCAGUCCGAUUCGGCCCGCCUCUGUUUUUAUUUCAGAUCUGCAAUUUGUCUAUUUUCCAGAGAAGAGCAUUUUUUGCAGGAAAGCCCUUGUGGAUCAUGCAUAUAAUAACUCACAAUUGGUGCAUCGGAUAAAAUAAAUUAUAUAUGAAAGUUGCUUAGAAUUUUGUGUAGUUUCAUAAUCUGUCAUUUUCAUCCAUGUUUAAAAUGCUUAAAAUGAAGUUUGUUUAAAUUUGCUUAAAUAACUUGCUAAAAUGAUUUAAUUCAUAACUAAAUAACCAUAGCUCCGAAUUAAAUAAUCUUUAUAUGUAGAUGGGGUAGAAUUUUGCCUAGUUUAACAUGGUGGCAUUACUUUGUAUGUUUAACAACUCUAAAAUAUGGUUUAGGGCAGAUCAGUACCAAACCUAAUAUAUGCAUAUGGGGAUUUACCGGAAUUGUUGUUUGUUGUUUCGGCCCCAUUUAAACUUGCCUAAAUGUUUAGUUUACUUAUGCUUCACCUCUUGCCAUGUUAAUCAACAUUUAAUUUUGUUGGGUACUUAAACAAGUUCGAACCAAAUAAGUCAUGUGGUGUUUCGUCAAUAUGCAACGGAGUUGCAUAUUGAGCUCCACAUAAUUUGUAGGAUUGCUUGUGCAUUUUGUCAUGCCAUGCCUCAUUAAACCGGACAUGCAUCAUACUUGAUUGUGCAUCAUGCCAUGAUUAUGUGGUGGUUGUUUACCAUGAUUGUUUGCUUCUUUCCAGUGUUGCUUCUUCGGGUUGGUUCCGAUAACGUCGUGUUGUGAGGAUCCGUUCGACUACAUCCGUUUAUCUUCUUCAUGGACUCGUUCUUCUUCCUUGCGGGAUUUCAGGCAAGAUGACCAUACCCUCGAAAUCACUUUUAUCUUUGCUUGCUAGUUGCUCGCUCUUUUGCUAUGCCUAUGCUGCGAUACCUACCACUUGCUUAUUAUGCCUCCCAUAUUGUUGAACCAAGCCUCUAACCCGCCUUGUCCUAGUAAACCAUUGUUUGGCUAUGUUACCGCUUUGCUCAGCCCCUCUUAUAGCAUUGUUAGUUGCAGGUGAAGAUUGAAGUUUGUUCCUUGUUGGAACAUGGGAAUGUUGUUCCUUGGUGGAACAUGUUUACUUGUUGGGAUAUCACAAUAUAUCUUAUUUAAUUAAUGCAUCUAUAUACUUAGUAAAGGGUGGAAGGCUCGGCCUUAUGCCUGGUGUUUUGUUCCACUCUUACGGCCCUAGUUUCCGUCAUAUCGGUGUUAUGUUCCCGGAUUUUGCGUUCCUUAUGCGGUUGGGAAAUAAUGGGAACCCCUUGAUAGUUCGCCUUGAAUAAAACUCCUCCAGCAAUGCCCAACCUUGGUUUUACCAUUUGCACUAACAACCUACCACCUUCCCUUGGGUUCUGCAGACUCAAGGGUCAUCUUUAUUCNNNNNNNNNNNNNNNNNNNNNNNNNNNNNNNNNNNNNNNNNNNNNNNNNNNNNNNNNNNNNNNNNNNNNNNNNNNNNNNNNNNNNNNNNNNNNNNNNNNNNNNNNNNNNNNNNNNNNNNNNNNNNNNNNNNNNNNNNNNNNNNNNNNNNNNNNNNNNNNNNNNNNNNNNNNNNNNNNNNNNNNNNNNNNNNNNNNNNNNNNNNNNNNNNNNNNNNNNNNNNNNNNNNNNNNNNNNNNNNNNNNNNNNNNNAGCGCCCCCUCAGGGAAACUCCAGGUUUGAUUUUAGCUGUAUGGAGAGCUCAUCUGAGUGUUCCCUGAGAACGAGAUAUGUGCAGCUCCUAUCGGGAUUUGUCGACACAUUCGGGCGGUGUUGCUGGUUUAGUUUUACCCUGUCGAAAUGUCUUGUAACCGGGAUUCCGAGUCUAAUCGGGUCUUCCCGCUAGAAGGUCUAUUCCUUCGUUGACCGUGAGAGCUUGUGAUGGGCUAAGUUGGGACACCCCUGCAGGGAUUUGAACUUUCGAAAGUUGUGCCCGCGGUUAUGGGUAGAUGGGAAUUUGUUAACGUCCGGUUGUAGAAAACCUGAAGUUGACCUUAAUUAAAAUGCAUCAACCGCGUGUGUUGCCGUGAUGGUCUCUUUCCGGCGGAGUCCAGGAAGUGAACACGGUGUUGGAGUUAUGCUUGACGUAGGUUGUUUUAGGAUCACUUCUUGAUCAUACUUUUAUCGACCGUGCUUUACCUUCUCUUCUCGCUCUCAUUUGCGUAUGUUAGCCACCAUAUAUGCUAGUCGCUUGCUGCAGCUCCACCUCUUACCUUUACCUUACCCAUAAGCUUAAAUAGUCUUGAUCGCGAGGGUGUGAGAUUGCUGAGUCCCCGUGACUCACAGAUACUUCCAAAACCAGUUUGCAGGUGCCGAUGUUACCGAGCAGGUGACGCAACCAAGCUCGAGGAGGAGCUCGAUGAAGAUCUUGUCCUUUAUGUUGUUUCGUUCUAGUUGAUCGGUAGUGGAGCCCAGUUGGGGUCGAUCGAGGACCUUUGUCGCACUUGGGGUUCUUCUUUUAUUUUGGUUCCGUAGUCGGACCUUGAUUGUAUUUGGAUGAUGUAAUGCUUUAUUCAUGUAUUGUGUGAAGUGGCGAUUGUAAGCCAACUAUGUAUCUAUUUCCCUUAUGUAUUACAUGAGUUGUGUGAAGAUUACCUCACUUGUGACAUUGCUUUCAAUGCGGUUAUGCCUCUAAGUCGUGCUUCGACACGUGGGAGAUAUAGCCGCAUCGAGGGCGUUACACGCCCGGCCCUAGACACGUUCAUGGCAGCAUCCCACUAUGCUUAUAACACCCUGAAGAUGCCUGGGCCACUGGGAGUCAUCACUAUCCCAUCAGAUGAGAAGGAUGCAAUUAUCUGCGUGGACAAGAUGUACCAGGAUGCAGUCGCAGCAAAGGCUGCGGCAGCAACGGUUCCCGCCAAGGAAAGUAAAGGAAAGAAAAGGGAUUGUAGGACCUCUGGCAAGGAGUCCGGGAAGCGUGCCCCCUCCGAGUGCACGGCACCCAUUGACAAUGUGUCGAAGUGUUCCAAUAGCAAGAGAUCCAAGGUUGUUGCACCCCAAGUGAAGAAGGUCCCGGCAGGGCUGGCUGGCGUUGAUGGUACUUUCACCAUCGGUGCCACCCUUGAUGACAAAUAGGAAAGCACGCUCGUUGCCUUCCUGCGGGCGAAUAUCGAUGUGUUUGUUGGGGAAUGCAGUAUUUCAAAAAAAUUACCUACGAUCACGCAAGAUCUAUCUAGGAGAUGCAUAGAAACGAGAGGGGAGAGUGUGCCUACGUACCCUCGUAGACCGAAAGCGGAAGCGUUUAGUAACGCGGUUGAUGUAGCCGAACGUCUUCACGAUCCAACCGAUCCAAGUACGGAACGCACGGUACCUCCGCGAUCAGCACACGUUCAGCUCAGUGAUGUCCCUCGUACUCUUGAUUCACACUCGACCUUUCGGUCUCAGUGUUCCGAGGCCAUAUCUGCAUAUGCUAGGCUCGUCAAGUUUAACCUAAGUAUUCUGCUUGUGCAAAACUGGCUUGCACCCGUUGUGUGUGAAUGUAGAGCUUAUCACACCCGAUCAUCACGUGGUGUCUCGGCACGACGAACUUUAGCAAGGGUGCAUACUCAGGGAGAACACUUACACCUUGAAAUUUAGUGAGAGAUCAUCUUAUGAUGCUACCGCCGUACUAAGCAAAAUAAGAUGCAUAAAUGAUAAACAUCACAUGCAAUCAAAAUAAGUCAUAUGAUAUGGCCAUCAUCAUCUUGCGCCUUUGAUCUCCAUCUCCAAAGCACCGUCAUGAUCACCAUCGUCACCAGCUUGACACCUUGAUCUCCAUGUAGCAUCGUUGUCGUCUCACCAACUAUUGCUUCUACGACUAUCGCUACCGCUUAGUAAUAAAGUAAAGCAGUUACAUGGCGAUUGCAUUUCAUACAAUAAAGCGACAACCAUAUGGCUCCUGCCAGUUGCCGAUAACUUCUACAAAACAUGAUCAUCUCAUACAAAAAUUUAUAUUAUCACGUCAGGACCAUAUCACAUCAAAACAUGCCCUACAAAAACAAGCUAGAUAUCCUCUACUUUGUUGUUGCAAGUUUUAUGUGGCUACUACGGGCUUCUAGUAAGAACCAUUCUUACCUACGCAUCAAAAACCACAACGAUUUUUCGUCAAGUGUGUUGUUUUAACCUUCAACAACGACCGGGCAUAGUCAAACUUGAUUCAACUAAAGCUGGAUAAACAGACACCCACUAGCCACCUGUGUGUGAAGCACGGUGGUAGAACCAGUCUCAUGAACUUGGUCAUGUAAUGUCGGUCUGGGCUGCUUCAUCCAACAAUAUCGCCAAAUCAAAGUAUGACAUGCUUGUAAGCAGUAUGAAUAUUAUCGCCCACAACUCUUUGUGUUCUACUCGUGCAUAUAGCAUAUACGCAUAGACCUAGCUCGGAUGCCACUGUUGGGGAACACAGUAUUUCAAAAAAUUUACCUAUGAUCACGCAAGAUCUAUCUAGGAGAUGCAUAGCAACGAGAGGGGAGAAUGUGUCUACGUACCAUCGUAGAUCAAAAGCGAAAGUGUUUAGUAACGCGGUUGAUGUAGUCGAACGUCUUCAUGAUCCAACCGAUCCAAGUACCGAAUGCACAGCACCUCCGCGAUCAACACACAUUCAGCUCGGUGACGUCCCUCAUACUCUUGAUCCAGCUGAGGCCGAGGGUGAUUUUCGUCAGCACGACGGCGUGUUGACGGUGAUGAUGAAGUUACCGACGCAGGGCCUCGCCUAAGCACUACAACGAUAUGACCGAGGUGUAUAACUGUGGAGGGGGGCACCACACAUGGCUAAAAGAUUAACUUGUGUGUCUAUGGGGUGCCCCCUUCCCACGUAUAUAAAGGGGGGAUGGAGGAGGAGGCUGGUCAAGGGUGGCGCGCCCAAGGGGGGGAGUCCUACUCCAAGUAGGAUUCGCCCCCCCCCCUCCUUUCCUACUUCCACAAGGAGAAGGGGGGAAGGAGUAGGAGAAGAGAAGGAAAGGGGGGCCCGGCCCCCUAGCCCUAGUCCAAUUCGGUUUGGGCUAGGGGGCGCACGCCACCUCUUGUCCUGCCUCCUCUCUUCCACCACUAGGCCCAUGAGGCCCAAUAACUUCCCGAAAGGGGGUUCCAGUAACCCCCAGUACUCCGAAACUUAUCCGAAACGACAUGAACCAUUAUGGUGUUCGAAUGUAACCUUCCAAUAUAUGGAUCUUUAUGUCUCGACCAUUUAGAGACUCCUCGUCAUGUCCGUGAUCUCAUCUGGGACUCCGAACAAACUUCGGUACAUCAAAUCACAUAAACUCAUAAUACAAAUCGUCAUCGAACGUUAAGUGUGCGGACCCUACAAGUUCGAGAACUAUGUAGACAUGACCGAGACACAUCUUCGGUCAAUAACCAAUAGCGGAACCUGGAUGCUCAUAUUGGUUCCUACAUAUUCUACGAAGAUCUUUAUCGGUCAAACCGCAUAACAACAUAUGUUGUUCCCUUUGCCAUCGGUAUGUUACUUGCCCAAGAUUCGAUCGUCGGUAUCAUCAUACCUAGUUCAAUCUCGUUGCCGGCAAGUCUCUUUACUCGUUCCGUAAUGCAUCAUCCCACAACUAACUCAUUAGUCACAUUGCUUGCAAGGCUUAUAGUGAUGUGUAUUACCGAGAGGGCCCAGAGAUACCUCUCCGACAAUCGGAUUGACAAAUCCUAAUCUCGAUCUAUGUAUUCACCCAGUUACGUUGUGACGUUUAAUGGCACACUAAGUGUUCCUCCGGUAUUCGGGAGUUGCAUAAUCUCAUAGUCAUAGGAACAUGUAUAAGUCAUGAAGAAAGCAAUAGCAAUAAACUAAACGAUCAUAGUGCUAAGCUAACGGAUGGGUCUUGUCCAUCACAUCAUUCUCUAAUGAUGUGAUCCCGUUCAUCAAAUGACAACACAUGUCUAUGGCUAGGAAACUUAACCAUCUUUGAUUAACGAGCUAGUCAAGUACAGGCACACUAGGGACACUCUAUUUGUCUAUCUAUUCGCACAUGUACUAAGUUUCCGGUUAAUACAAUUCUAGCAUGAAUAAUAAAUAUUUAUCAUGAUAUAUGGAAAUAUAAAUAACAACUUUAUUAUUGCCUCUAGGGCAUAUUUCCUUUAGUGUUUGCCUGGUAACCAUCUGAUAUCCCCGGUGUUCGUAGGGACGUAAUCGAGCACCAUCUUGAUGUCUGCCCACAUGCCAGACCUAUCAAGCAGAAAGUCCGGAAGCAAGCCUUGGAGAGGCAACAGUUCAUUGCCGAGGAAAUCAAGAAACUGGAGGCAGUUGGUUUAGUCAGAGGAGUACUCCAUCAAACAUGGUUAGCAAAUCCAGUGGUAGUUCGGAAGGCUAAUGGGAAAUGGAGGCUUUGCAUUAACUUCACAGACAUCAACAAGGCUUGGCCGAAGGACCCAUUUCCCUUGUCGCGUAUUGAUCAGAUUGUGGAUUCCACCUCAGGGUGUGAUUUUAUUUCCUUCCUGGACGCAUACUCCGGAUAUCACCAGAUCUUCAUGUCCAAAGAAGAUGAAGAGAAUACAUCAUUUAUCACCCCAUGUGAAACAUAGAAGCUUAUAUGGAUGAUAUUGUGGUCAAGACCAAGGAUAAGACCACUCUUAUCCAGGAUUUAGAGGAGACGUUUGCUAAUCUGCGCAAGAUCAACUUGAAGCUUAAUCUAGAGAAGUGUGUGUUUGGAGUCCCCUCCGGCUAGCUACUUGGUUUCUUCAUGUCCCAUCAGGGGAUCGAAGCUAACCCCGAUAAGAUCAACGCCAUCGAGCAAAUCCAAGCACCAAGGACAGUUGAGGAUGUGAGACGCUUGACGGGAUGCAUUGUCGCGCUAAGUAGAUUCACUUCCAAGUCUGCCGAGCGCGCCAUGCCAUUCUUCAAAAUUUUGAAGAAGGCAGUGCCUAUGAAGUGGACCCCAGAAGCAUAUGCAGCUCUGCAGGAGUUGAUGGCCUACCCGUCGUCUGUGCCUACCUUGGUUGCACCUAAACCCCAAGAGUCGUUGUUGAUGUACUUGGCGGCAACCAACCAAGUGGUCAGUGCGGCCUUGGUAGCACAACAAGAAGUAGAUGAGGCAGAAAGUGGACAAUAAUGGCAGAGUCGGAAAAGGAUCAGAGCAGUAGUGAGCACGACAAUGAGAACAACCCCAGGACGCGGCAAGGAAGAAGGUGGUGCAUCGCCAGUGUACUUCAUCAGCUCCUUGUUGCAGGGGGCUAGAUCGAGGUACUCUGGCAUGCAAAACUUGAUUUUUGGUCUCAUUAUGGCCUCAAGGAAACUGCACCACUACUUCCAAGCCCAUGAGAUCACGGUUGUUGCUCGUUUUCCGUUGCAAAGGAUACUUCAAAACCCUGAGGCUGCCGACAGAAUAGUGGAGUGGGCUUUGGAGUUAUCCAACUUUGGUUUGAAGUUUGAGAGCACAUCAACCAUUCAGAGCAGGGCAAUGGUAGAGUUUAUUGCAGAAUGGAUGCCAACCACUGAUGAGGAAGUGACAGAGACAGCUAUCCCUAGCAAGGAAUCACCCCAAGAAUGGAUUAUGUGUUUUGAUGGUGCUUUUUCCCUACAGGGUGCAGGGGCUAGCGUGCUUCUUGUUGCUCCCUCCGAGGAGAACUUGAAGUACUCGUCCAAAUGCACUUUGCCCGGGAAGAAGCCACCAACAAUACAGCUGAGUAUGAAGGGCUCCUUGCCGGGCUCAGAAUUGCAGCAGAAUUGGGAAUCAAGAAGUUGAUCAUACAAGGAGAUUUGCAGCUUGUGGUGAGACAAGUCAACAAGGAUUAUCGAAGCCCAUUGAUGGAAGAAUACAUCGAGGAAGUGAGGAGAUUGGAGGAGCACUUUGACGGGUUGUAAAUAGAGCACGUACCCCGUGUGGAAAACAGCAUAGCUGAUCACCUGUUAAAGUAUGUUGCGUAGAAGCUUCCUGUGGAACCAGGAACUUUUAUUCUCUGUCUCUAUCAACCCUCCAUAUCACUAACCACAAUGGCUUGGAAAAGGAGAAAGUUGGACUACGAUAAGCCUCUCCCGAUCGAGCCAUCCGCUCCCGGCAAAGACCCUGCCGGAAACAACUCCUCACAACCUGCCGGACCACCCCCUCCAGUCGGUCCAAUGGACCCCGUGAACGAGGCUGGUGCUCCCGCAGCCGAGGAGGUGCCGUUAGUCCUCGUUGCCGAUCCCCAGGCUCCAACUUGGGCAAGGCAUAUUGUGUGCUUCCUCCAAACCGGAGAGCUUCCCGACGACCAAGAUGAAGCUGAGAAAGUAGCUCGGAGGGCCCGUAUGUAUCAGUUUGUUGAUGACAAUCUAUAUAGAAGGAGGCCCAACGGUGUGAAAUUGAAGUGUGUCUGCCAGGAAGAUGGAAAGAAACUGUUGGCUGAGAUUCACAAAGGAAUGUGUGGUUCACACAUUGGAUCAAGGGCAUUAGUUGGGAAAGCAUUCCAGUAAGGAUUCUAUUGGCCCACGGCCCUCCAAGAUGCGGUCGAGCACGUCACGACAUGUGAAGCCUUCCAGUUCCAUUCCAAGAGAACACACCUACCUGCCCAAGCCCUUCAGACAAUCCCUUUAUCAUGGCCAUUUUGGGUCUGGGGGCUCGAUAUCCUCGGCCCUUUCCCCCGAGCAAUCGGGGGCUCUGAAUUCUUGUUCGUCGCUAUCAACAAGUUUACAAAGUGGUCGGAAGUGACUUUCGUGAGAAACGUGACUACUCAGUCAGCUAUCAAGUUCUUGAAAGAAUUGGUGUGUCAUUUUGGAGUUCCGGCAAGGAUCAUCACCGACAACAGCACCCAAUUCACGAGCCAUGUCUUCAUGCAAUAUGUUCGUACCCUCAGAUGCAAGAUCUCGUUCACCUCUGUGGCACACCCCCGGAGCAAUGGACAAGUUGAGAGGGCAAACACUCAAGUGUUGUGUGGACUCAAGACAAGAACUUUUGAUACGCUGCAGAAGCACGGCAGGCGGUGGAUCAAGGAGCUGUCAGUAAUUCUCUGGUCCCUCAGAACAACGCCUAAUCGAGCUACCGGGCAGACUCCCUUCUCCCUGGUCUACGGGUCAGAAGUAGUUAUCCCCACGGAACUCAUUUACGGGUCUCCUCGAGUGCUUCCCUACGAUGAAGUAGUGCAAGAUCAGCACCGGUGUGAUGACGCUGUGCUACUUGAGGAGAACCGUCUCCGGGCUGCUAUGCAUGUUGCACGCUAUCAGCAAGCCCUGAGUCGUUAUCACGGCCGCGGGGUUCAUGCCCGAUGUUUUGAGGAAGGUGACCUUGUCCUUAGGCACGUUCGGUCCGCCAAGGGUACAAACAAGUUGUCACCGAAGUGGAAGGCCCUUAUCGGGUGGUACAAGUCACCAAACCCAGCGCAAUCCGUUUGGAGACCAGAGAUGGCACUCAGUUGCAAAACUCAUGGAAUAUUGAGCAUCUCCGCAAGUACUACCCAUAAGGCGCGAGGCUGUCGGGCACUGCCCAACAGCCACCCUUUUGUACAGGCCUUGCCUUAGCUGCAUCUAACCCCUUGUACAAAGUCGGGGCGAUGACCCCGUGCAAGAGAAAAUAAUGAAGUGUUGUAGAGGGGGGCCCCCAACUAAGAUUGCAUGCAUGCAUGAGCACACCAAGAUCACUGCAUAAGCAUCUCAUGAGCAUCUGCAUAUGCAUAUAGAUAGGAUUGCAUCCUGCAUUCAUUCUCAUCUAUAUGAAGUUGCAGGUUCCUGCCAUGAACUUGGCUUCGACAAAGGGCAAGAAGAUUGCACGGCAUGAUGGUCCCUGGCAAGGCCAAACAGAUAAGUUUUAUCUCUUGUCCAUUAGUGUUCUGUAUAGCUAUGACUUUGCAUGAGAAAACCUCGCCCCUCCUUCGAAACUUAGGUGCUCCCAUCCAUGACUCGAACGUUGCUUCGGUCAGGAUGGUCACAGUUGCCUUUGGUAAAAAAAAGGGGGAGCUGGCAGGGGGCUGGCCCCUCUGUCUGUUCCCUGGUAGACGUAGCUCUCCGGUAGACAAAGAGGGUGUUGGCAAGAUAUCCUCUCGGGGAAAACUCGUUUAUUUACAUUAAAGAGGCAUUCCACCUCUGCAUGGACAUACACAUGCACGAGUUCCCAACAGAGCUUAUCUUUUUCAUUCAUAUGCUGAUACAAGUACAAGCAUUACAAAACACAAAGAUGGACUCGAGAGAUUACAUUAUUUGAAUUAAAAUUUGGCGAUUGCCUACAGAUUUAAGAUUGAAAAAAGAUAAGUGCCCUGUAAUCCCCUCUUUUUGUUUUCCCUCCUUCAGGCACUAUGGCGGAAGGAGGAAAAGACGAGAAAAGGAGCGCCCAAGCAGGAGCCCACCCUGAUCCCGUCAGGGCCUGUCGGGCAUGGCCUGACAAGACCGGGAGUGGCGAGGCUGCGAAGGAGGAGCGCGAGGAACGGGGCGGCGUUGAGAUUGCCAGCGAUCUCCAGCCCCGCCUCCCGGCCGAGCCUUAAAGAUAUCAAGAGAUUCACCACGCCAAGGACCAGGCUCACUCCCUGAGCAUCAGCACCAGCAUGGGGCGAUAAUAGCCCCAAGUAGGAGCCUGGGGGCUGGCCCCAGGCUCUUCUCUUCAACAUCGCCGGCAGAAGCAGAAAACAAAGGAAGAAGAGGAGCAACACGAAGGUGGAUGACUCCGGCCUCCUCCGCCCCUCCCUUUUAUAGGCCGAGCGAAGGAGGGCAACUGCUCCAUCAACGGGUGGCCAUCAUCCUCCUCCACCAAUUCAAGGCGGGUAGGCCCUCUCCAAGAUGCUCUCCCACACCACGCGCCUCCAUUACCUACCCCACGCGAUGCAUGCAGCAUACGUGGCCAAGGAUAAGGGUGCCCAGUGGGAAGAGUAAAUUGGCAGUUUCUACCCCGUGCGUUAAAGUCAUUCACGGGCCAUUACUAGAGCGGACCCACCACUAUUGGCUUUACGCCACGAGCAGGGAACCCGGAAACUAGCCCAAAAUCAAGGCUAAUGAAGUAGCAAUGGAAAUCUCAAGGGGCCAGCCUCUUCGGCAACCCUGCCUGUACACUUAUUAGGCCCUACCCCGACGACACUCAGCGGCAUGUUCGAGGCAGGCCCGAGGGCUUCUGUUGGUGCAACAGACCCUGGGUCUAUUGCCCAGACUACGCACAGCCACAAGAGUAGAAUUGAAGCAUCGGAUUGAGUCAGAGAUUGAAGGACCAAGAGAUUUGAAGAACCAACAUGCAGCUCAUAGGGAUCAAGAUCAAGCCAGAGGAUCAGUAUAUCGGCAAGAGAAGGGACUCCCUUGCCAGGCAGGCGAGCCCGGCAAGGGGCAAGGCCACAUCAGAAGCAAGCAACCAAGGCGCCCCGGCAGGGCCUACCGGGGCUCACGGAGGCAAAACCACCCCACCAACCACUCAAGCACGACCCAUGUCGUCAAUCAGUGCGGUGUCAAGCCGCAAGGCGAUUAAAUGGCAGCCAUUCACCACAUGGUGGCCGUUUCCUACAGAAGGGACAUACAAAUGACACUCGUCCUAUGACGUGUCAAUCAAACAAGCGCGGAGCUGGCGAGAUAGCCCGGCAAGCCUUGUCGGGCAACCAGUGAUGUGACACUAAGCAGUGCAUUUAAUGUACCCUGUUAGCCUGUAGAGUUAGGUAUGAUAGCACUAAUCAUAUCAGUGGACAAUGACCACUUUGCCAUUGUGGUGACCCCUUAAUCUAUAAAAGGAGGCCCAUGGCACCCGUAGGAGGGGUUAGACAAGUGGAGGAACCCACCCCCCAUACGCGCGUAGUCGCUGCUGCCAUAUGACGACCCUUGCCGGGCAAGUGUACUGUGUUGUAUUAUCCACAUUCCACCAUCAAUCCACUAAAGCAGGAGUAGGGUUUUACGCCUCACGGCGGCCCGAACCUGGGUAAAUUGCUUGUGUGCUCUCUGACGCACUGCCGCGCACUGGUUUGCUCUUUGUGCAACGCGACGUCCCCCUGUCGAACCAGCAAGGGGCCUCCUGGUCCCAUAGGUGGCUGCGGAUAUCCUGCGACACCACCAUUCAUAAUUCGUUCAUACAUGUCACUCUUGAUUCAUUGCACAUCCCGAUACACCGUCGGAGGCAUUCAUAUAGAGUCAUAUUUUGUUCUAAGUAUGGAGUUGUAGUUCUUGAGUUGUAAAGUAAAUAAAAGUGUGAUGACCUUCAUUAUUAGAGCAUUGUCCCAUGUGAGGAAAUAAAAAAAGAGGAAAGGCCAAAUAAAAAGAGAAGGCCCAAAAAAACAAAAAACAAAAAAUGAGACAAAAAGAGAGAAGGGGCAAUGCUACUAUCCUUUUACCACACUUGUGCUUCAAAGUAGCACCAUGAUCUUCAUGAUAGAAAGUCUCCGAUGUUGUCACUUUCAUAUACUAGUGGGAAUUUUUCAUUAUAGAACUUGGAUUGUAAAUUCCAAUGAUGGGCUUCCUCAAAUUUCCCUAGGUCUUCGUGAGCAAGCGAUUUGGAUGCACACCCACUUAGUUUCUUUUUGAGCUUUUAUACACUUAUAGCUCUAGUGCAUCCGUUGCAUGGCAAUCCCUACUCACUCACGUUGAUAUCUAUUGAUGGGCAUCUCCAUAGCCCGUUGAUACGCCUAGUUGAUGUGAGACUAUCUCCUUCUUUUUGUCUUCUCCACAACCACCUUCUAUUCCACCUAUAGUGCUAUUUCCAUGGCUCACGCUCAUGUAUUGCGUGAAAGUUGAAAAAGUUUGAGAACAUCAAAAGUAUGAAACAAUUUCUUGGCUUGUCAUCGGGGUUGUGCAUGAUUUGAGUAUUUUGUGUGAUGAAGAUGGAGCAUAGCCAGACUAUAUGAUUUUGUAGGGAUAAGCUUUCUUUGUCCAUGUUAUUUUGAGAAGACAUAAUUGCCUUGUUAGUAUGCUUGAAGUAUUAUUGUUUUUAUGUCAAUAUUAAACUUUUAUUUUGAAUCUUAUGGAUUUGAACAUUCAUGCCACAAUAAAGAAAAUUACAUAGAUACAUAUGUUAGGUAGCAUUCCACAUCAAAAAUUCUGUUUUUAUCAUUUACCUACUCAAGGACUUGUAGGAAUUAAGCUUAGGAUGCUUGAUACGUCUACAAUGUAUCUAUGAUUUUUCAUUGUUCCAUGCUAUUAUAUUAUCUAUCUUGGAUGUUUUAUAUGAAUUUAUAUGCUAUUUUAUAUGAUUUUUGGGACUAACCUAUUAACUUAGAGCCAAGUGCCAGUUUUUGUUUUUUCCUUAUUUUUGAGUUUUAUAUAAAAGGAAUAUCAAGCGGAGUCCAAAUGACCUGAAACUUUACGACAAUUGUUUUUGGACCAAAAGAAGCCCACAGAGUACCGGAGAUGCACCAGAGGAGUCACGAGGCCUCUACAUGGGUGGAGGGCGCCCCCACCCCCCUAGGGUGCGUCCUCCGACCUUGUGGGCCCCUCAUGUAUUCCCUGACUUGUUCUUGACUCCAACACCUCUUGUAUAUCCCCAAACCUCCAUAACAGAACAGAAAUCGGGAGUUCCGCUGCCGCAAGCGUCUGUAGCCACGAAAAACCAAUCGGGAGCCUGUUCUGGCACCCUGUCGGAGGGGGAAACCAUCACCAAUGGCCGUCUUCAUCAUCCCGGCGCUCUCCAUGAUGAGGAGGGAGUAGUUCACCCUCGGGGCUGAGGGUAUGUACCAGUAGCUAUGUGUUUGAUAUCUCUCUGUCAGUCUCAAAACCAGCGGAUCUCGGGUAGGGGGUCCCGAACUGUGCGUCUAAGGUGGAUGGUAACAGGAAGCAGGGGACACGAUGUUUUACCCAGGUUCGAGCCCUCUUGAUGGAGGUAAAACCCUACGUCCUACUUGAUUAAUAUUGAUGAUAUGGGUAGUACAAGAGUAGAUCUACCACGAGAUCAGAGAGGCUAAACCCUAGAAGCUAGCCUAUGGUAUGAUUGUAUAUUUUUUGUUAUCUAUCGACUAGCCUGGCCUCGGUUCAUAUAAUGCACCAAAGGCCUAGGAUAACAAGAGUCCUAGCCGAAUACGCUGGUGGGGAGGAGUCCUUGUCUUGAUCACCAAGUCUUGUGGAAUCUUCCUUGUAUGCGAUAGCUGUCCGGACUGGCCCAUGAGUAUACGGCCAUGGGGGUCCUCGGCCCAAUCCAACUGAUCGGGAGACGAUGUGAUGAGUACCCCCUAGUCUAGGACACCGUCAGUAGCCCCCUGAACCGGUCUUCAAGUUAGGGAUGCUCCUCGAUUCUUCCAAACUAUUCUUCAUCUUCGGUUGUCGGUCUUGAAAACUGGUUCAACAAAUCUUCUCAUCUUCGAUCUUGAGGAUCACCGAAAUGCAUUCGGCGAGUUUACACAUCGGGUAUCCGAGGAGCCCCUUUAAGUUUCCGGCCUUUAUCAAUGCCUUGUUAUUUUUAUGCCACACCUCGGGUUUGAAGUUGUUCCCGGGAGGCAGUGUCCUCUUGCGUCCGAGCUCUAACGUCGGACUGCAUUCGAGGUAUCUUUUGCAGCCGAGCACCAAUGUCAGACUGCUUCCGAGCUCUAACGCUGAAAUAUAUCUGAGCUCCAACGCCGGACUCUGUCCAAGCUCCAACGCCGGACUAUAUCCAAGAUGUCAUAGAUCAUCUUGGUCCAAAAGAGUUGAAGCAGUUUAGCCGAGCUUAAUGCUGGAAAUGCCCUCUAUGGAGCCAGCCACUAGCACCCGAGCUUUAUGCCGGACUGCUUCCGAGGUGGUGCACCACCCCGACUAUGGGCCAAUUUUUUGUCAAUAUUUUUGAUUGGUGCGAUUUAUUCUCUACCGAGAUAUAUAACUAGUAGCCCUCAAGGUGUAUAUCAGUCUAAAACCCGAGAUGCACCUGAAGGAUGAUGUAAGACCGCUGAUCCCAGUAGCCGCUGAGACUCGGGUUGAUUUGCAAAAUCGGCCUAAGGAUCAAGUCCUAGCUCGGCAGAAUACUUGGGACACAAAAAGCGGCAUGCUUAGUCCUCGAGACUCAGGUUGGGUGCGGCCGACCAACCUGAGGAUCAAAAUCUCGUCGGAAAUUGUAUUGCACUUAAAAUUUUCUGCAUUGAACAGGCAAUCCAGUAGCCCCCGAGACACUGGUCGGGUGGCAACACCAGAUCAGGGGAUCGAUGUGCCCCUUUAAUAUUUGUAAAUAAUAAGCCCGAAGCCCAGUAGCCCCCGAGCCUUAAUGCAGGCACGGGUGGCCGAAUUAAGGAUCGAUAUCCAUAGUAAAAUCACAAAUUAUGUGUAAUGACUCUAUGUAUCCAAGUACUUUACGUCAUUAAUGCCAGGAUCCGCAUUGUACAAAACUUUGUUGACCGACCAUCGGCUUCCACCUCCUCGGCCAGUAGCCGAGGAGUGUUUGUCCUACUUUAUAAAGCCUUUAUGAGGGCAAAGAUUUACGACAAACAAGGCAAUCUGGCCAUACGGUUUUAUAAACAAAGGUACGCAGAGAGAUAUGUUAUAUUACUGUUUAACAUAAGAAAUGUCUUCCAAAGAAAAUAGUCCCGCUAUCGAUUCCUUUCUUUGGGUUGUCAUGCUAAGCAUGAUCAUGAAACCUCAGCUCCAAUGUAAGAGCAAAAUAUCGAGGAUUUAGUUUGGGAGGCCAUGUAAUAGCCCCUGGUAGUGUUCGGCGACAGUCGAGGUCAAGCCGUAAACACUUCGGCCAUUGUUAUGAAUGGCCCGUCAUUUAACACCGUCAUCGGAUCGCUGACCAGUUUACCGGGAUUUGUGACAGUAAGUUUUCGGCUUUCUCCACUGAGGUGCUUAACCAUGUGAGUUGGAAGCACAAUCGCAGUGGUUCUCCCUUUGCACGCCUAGCCGAACAAAGCGGGACAUAGGAAGCAAGUGCAGGAGUCGGGCAACCCAACUAUUGACCGAAGACACAAUUCGAAAUCGAUGCAUAUAUAGCAAUAUCCGAGAAUGUUUUUGCCGAAUCUCUAAAGGUGUCCGGCAUUGCACUGUGAGACUUGUGCUGGAAACACACAAAUAGUUUAAAAGUGCCAAAAAGCUUGGAAAGCCAAAAACGUCAGUAAAAACAUGACGUCCGAACAAGAUCAAGUGUUCGGUGCCAAUCCGAAAAUUGGAAGAGAAAGAAAAGAUUGUGCUUCUGUCAUGUUUUGACAAUGACCAAGAAGAAAACAUAUUUACAGCUCAUAUAUGAAUUUUAAGAGCCCCCAAGUGACUUGGGUAAGAAUUUUAUGUAUAAUGAUUGUAUGUACCGAAGUACUUAUAUCAUAUUUGUGUUCACCCAAACUUUAAACGCAUCUUAACCGACCAUCGGCUUCUCCCUCUUCGGCCAAGGGCCGAAAAGUGUCAUGUACUCCACCUGUCGAGAGUAUCGACGGUGUUUUCAAUGAACACGCAAUCAGGCCAUAAGGCUAUAACAGACAAAGCACGCUCAGGGAACUUAUGCUAUAUUACUAACGAAGUGUAAGAAGCAUCUUCAAAGAAAAUAGUACCCCCACCGAUACCUUUCUUCGGUGCUCAUUAUUACUAUGAGACUUGUGCAAUAGAUUUUUUGUACUCAUCAGUUCCGUUGUGUGCCGACCAUGAUUGAAAACAAUAAGAGCGCUAGCUUUCGGCUUCACCCAGUCUGAGGUCAAAGCUCGGAGGACCUGGUCGUGACAAUCGCAGAGGUGCUCCCUUUACUCCCUAGCCGAACAAUCGGGAACGUACGGGUAAGCACAGGAGCCAGGCAACCCGGCUUGCAAAUCGCUUAAGUCAAUAUGGUGCAUAUUGUGGCGUAAUACACGAACAAGGAACGAAGCCGUACAAGUAUAAUCAUAUGCAAGAGGAAAAAGCUUCAUGAAGGAAGCCCCCAAGUAAAUGGGGUAUUUGAAUUUGCAUGCCACAAACAAAGUUUUGACAAGGAUAUUUUUUACAAGCAACUUUUUUCCAAAAAAGUAUAAUGCUUGGUCGAACCGAACACAAGUUAAAAAUUAAAACUUUGAGCAUGAAAGCGACUUAGCUGGUUAAUGUGUUCGGCAUUGAUGACGCGGUCCGAGCUUGAUGCGGGACAAGGUUCUAUCCCCCAAGCCGGUCCCGAGGUGGCGGAGCGGAAAGCUCGACACACCGAAGUGGUGACAUAGCACGGUCAAUGCAGACCGGCAGAGUGGCGCCGAAGUCCCGGAUCAUUUUCCUGUGCACAAAAAAUAGUGCAAACCGGAGAUAAUAGUAAUAAUAAUAAUUAAAAAAUCGUUGCAUAAUAAAUAAUUUAUGCAAAGUGAGUAAUAAAAGAAAUAUGGCCUGGCGCCGAAGUCAAUGUCGAUGCAGGGCGUCGGCGUGAUGCGGUAAGGGCGUGGCAAAGCCUGAAUUCACAGGUCGGUCCGAGUUCCGGAUGUGGCAUUCGCUGGACUAUGUACGGAAACUGACCGAACCACCACGCGACCAUCGUUAAUGCGGCCAUCAUUUGAUAGACCUGUGUACAGAUGAUGGACAAAACAGAGUAAUAAUUCCUUGGGCAAAAUGAACCCAAACAAGCAAAAAAUACUAGGAUUAAUAGCACCUGGUUUAUUUGUUGUAGCAAUCCGAAGAAAGGUGAUUCCCAAAAUUGGGACUCGAUCCGCACACCCCUUGCCUGAUGGGCGAUAAAGCGAUGGUAUGUCGAUGCUGGCAAAGGUUGGCUCGUCGAGGCAAAGCCCUCGGUCCAGCUAACAUGACGGAGCUGGUCAGCUAGUGACGCUGAAGUCUCCGGAGUAGGUUGAUGAAGAGAUGGCGAAGCCCCCGGUCCAGCCGAGAUGUCAGCUGAUGAGUCAAAGUAGGUCGGCGUGAUGGACACUAGCUUGAAGAAGCAAUAGUGUGGCCCUGCCGAUGCAGGUCGUGACGUGGUCGAUGUCGGCUUGAUGAAGUGACCGUGCGGCGAUGCCGGUAUGCCCGCUCCGUGUAAUCCCUGGGGCGGCGAUGUUGGUGAUGAUUUAUCCUUCACGAUGCCGGACUGUUGUUUGGCUUGCUGAGAUGAUGAUCCGAAGAAGUUGAGCUCGGCUCAACAAAGUGACGACGUGUCUAGCGCAGGUCGGCAGCCUUGGAGCAAUAUCACCGGACUGGUUUGACACUAGCAUGAUGAUGAAGGCGACCUCAGGGGAGGCUUAAAAAUUUGUGGGCACGUGUUUAAAAACAAUGCACAAUACCCUAGAAGAGAAUUCCUCUAAAAAGGUUGUCCAAUGUCACGUUCAUAAAGAAACAUGAAUUCGGGUCGGAUCCGUAUUCGCGCACAAAACGGAUCCGAAAAUUGAUCCACUCAUCGGAAGGUUCCCGGAGUUUGAACCGUCGGAUCGAGCUGAAAUUUGGAGGGGUGGUAGAUAUGGGAAUUCUGAAGUAGAUGAAGGGUUGAAUCUUCCAAAGGACCUCCGAGCUAGGCUCGGGAGACCACGCCCUAAACACAUCCAGAUUCCCGUCUAGAUUUGAAAGGGCUUGGGUAUAUUGUAGAUUGUCAGAGAUUUCUCCAUCGGAACUCGACGAAAUUUUGCAUGGCUGUUGUAGACUCAAUUCCGCACAAUUCCACCAAAGGGAUCAUCAAAGCGAUGCUCUAAGAGGUGGUGGCAGCAGAUACAAGUUUGUUGUUCGGAAAAACAGCACGGUCGCCCGAGGGCAAUGUUGACAUUGAGCCCCCGAGCUCCAUGGAUGAUUCCUCCAUGAUCUUGAUAGAGAUCGGAGUUGAUGUUGAUGAAGGCCCUCAUCCGAACAUGACGAUCGGAGAUGGAGCACGGUCCUCGGUCGAGCCAAGGUGACCAGUCGAGCCGGCGACGAAGAUGCCGGCAUCGCAGUUGACCUGCAGACGAGCCAUCGAUCCUUUUGCCGAUCACACAGCGGAACUCUCAAUGAAAGCACCAAUGUCGGUGUCAAAACCGGCGGAUCUCGGGUAGGGGGUCCCGAACUGUGCGUCUAAGGCGGAUGGUAACAGGAAGCAGGGGACACGAUGUUUUACCCAGGUUCGGGCCCUCUUGAUGGAGGUAAAACCCUAUGUCCUGCUUGAUUAAUAUUGGUGAUAUGGGUAGUACAAGAGUAGAUCUACCAUGAGAUCAGAGAGGCUAAACCCUAGAAGCUAGCCUAUGGUAUGAUUGUAUAUUUUUUGUUAUCUAUCGACUAGCCUGGCCUCGGUUUAUAUAAUGCACCAAAGGCCUAGGAUAACAAGAGUCCUAGCCAAAUACGCCGGUGGGGAGGAGUCCUUGUCUUGAUCACCAAGUCUUGUGGAAUCUUCCUUGUAUGCGGCAGCUGUUCGGACUGGCCCAUGAGUAUACGGCCAUGGGGGUCCUCGGCCCAAUCCAACUGAUCGGGAGACGAUGUGAUGAGUACCCCCUAGUCCAGGACACCUUCACUCUCUCUCUCUCUCUCUCUCUCUCUCUCUCGUGUUCUUGAUUUGGCAUGAUCUUGAUAUACCACGAGCUUUGCUACUAUAGUUGGAUCUUAUGAUGUUUCUCCCCCUCUAACUUCUUGUAGUGGAUUAAGUUUUCCCUUUGAAGUUAUCUUAUAGAUUGAGUCUUUAAGGAUUUGAGAAUACUUGAUGUAUGUCUUUGAUACGUCCAUUUUGCAUUUGUUUUCUUACUGUUAUUUAUGAUGUUUUUAUCCAUAAUAAUGAUUUUUGGAGUAAUUCUAAUGCCUUUUCUAUCAUAAUAUGCAAGGUCUACACAAAGAGGGAGAAUUCUGGCAGCUGGAAAUCUGGACCUGGAAAAGCUACAUCAGGCCACCUAUUCUGAACAACUCCAAACAAGCUAAAACUUCACG
rnacentral:lncRNA from 1 species